GCGGGGGCAGGAGGAGAGAAAGAGAGAGAAGGAAUAGGAAAACAGAACAACAAACGAGAGUUCGAGAGAGCGAAGGGCAUCUGUAAGCAGCGGAGCGGACCACUACCGCACUCGGCUCAGCAAGAGAAGUGUCAGAACCUCCCCUGCCCCGUGCUCAGAACCUCCCCUGCUCGGAACCUCGCCCUGUCCGAACCUCGCCGUCCGGAACCUCGCCAUGGAACACACAGGAAAUAAACAGGUGCCGAGCACUUCCCCGCAAAAGCAAACGGUCAAAAACAGGUCCAGGUCCACAGAUGAGGUGCAGCAAGCUAAAAAGGCCUUUCACACACCACAGAAGUCUCUUCCAGCGAAACCUGAGACAGAGAAGUUGGAGGAGACCGUGGAACCCAGCGCUUCGUCAGAAGAACGGAAAUGAUGGCUUUAUUCAAACCAGUGUUAUAGGGUUAGAGACAGAUAUCAGCAAAAUAUGGGUCCUGUUUAUACCAAUGUAAUGAACACCAGUAGCAUUGAAAUGUAUUAUUCAUUACCAAGUCUAAAUAAAAACACACCACACUUCAGUUGUACAACAGUUACUCAUGGCUUCAAGGGCAUUUUCUUUCCAGAUAUAGAGCUUAAGCUUACUCUAGAUGACUUGUUCUCUUUUUAAAUGACUAUUCACAUUUGUUUAUUUAUUUAUUUAUUUUUCAUUCAUUUAUGUAGGUUUCCAUAGCUGAAAACAUACAUGAAAUAGUUAAAUCCUGGUUAGCCUCGUAAUGUUGUCCAAGACUAGGCUUAGUUUGUGUGUGAAAAGCAAUAGUACCACUUUUCCCAAAGAGUUUACAUAAUACAUUUAUCUUAAACCAUCAUACUUAAAUACGUAAUUAAUUAAUUAAUUAAUUAAUUUUGAUUACCAUUUAAUAUAAAUACUUUUCAUUGAUAAUCAUGAGAGCUGACAUCAGUAUUCAUAAAGUAUUCUUCUUUAACAUGACAACUUUAAUUCAUUCAGGAAGAAGGACAGAACAGGAGAUACACAUUUUCAGAUUACAUUGUUUAUUAUAUGUUUGUAUUCUAUAUCUCUAUUCCAAUACGGCAUGAAUGGGCACUUAAUUUCACUUGAUCAUAAUAAAGCAUAUAAGGACUUUUACUUUUUGUAUUUUUGUAAGAUGAUAUGAAUGUCUUAUGCAGACUCGCUUCAUUACUCUGUUACCAAAUAAGCCCCAUUAUGAAACAUUCCCCAUUCCUCUCUUUUAUUUUCUGUAAGGAAGAAACCAACAUAAAGAGGUUCUGCUGGAUGUUUCCAUCAACUACAUGUGUGUAAUGCAAACGAAUUACCUUCCGUAACUGUGUUUGUAAUGAACAGUAAAAUAAUAUUUAACAGAA